rnacentral:rRNA from 1 species
UACGUAGGGUGCAAGCAUUAAUCGGAAUUAUUGGGCGUAAAGGGCGCGUAGGCGGAUUGAUAAGUCAGAUGUGAAAUACCAAGGCUUAACCUUGGUGCUGCAUUUGAAACUGUCUCUCUAGAGGAUUGACGGAGAAAGCGGAAUUCCACGAGUAGCGGUGAAAUGCGUAGAUACGUGGAGGAACACCAGUGGCGAAGGCGGGUUGCUGGGCUGACACUGACGCUGAUGCGCGAAAGCCAGGGGAGCGAACGGG